rnacentral:rRNA from 1 species
GGCAAAGGUAGCUUGCUCCUAACCUAGCGGCGGACGGGUGAGUAAUGCUUAGGAAUCUGCCUAUUAGUGGGGGACAACAUUCCGAAAGGAAUGCUAAUACCGNNNNCGUNCNNNNNNANAAAGCAGGGGACCUUCGGGCCUUGCGCUAAUAGAUGAGCCUAAGUCGGAUUAGCUAGUUGGUGGGGUAAAGGCCUACCAAGGCGACGAUCUGUAGCGGGUCUGAGAGGAUGAUCCGCCACACUGGGACUGAGACACGGCCCAGACUCCUACGGGAGGCAGCAGUGGGGAAUAUUGGACAAUGGGGGGAACCCUGAUCCAGCCAUGCCGCGUGUGUGAAGAAGGCCUUUUGGUUGUAAAGCACUUUAAGCGAGGAGGAGGCUACUAGUAUUAAUACUACUGGAUAGUGGACGUUACUCGCAGAAUAAGCACCGGCUAACUCUGUGCCAGCAGCCGCGGUAAUACAGAGGGUGCGAGCGUUAAUCGGAUUUACUGGGCGUAAAGCGUGCGUAGGCGGCUGAUUAAGUCGGAUGUGAAAUCCCUGAGCUUAACUUAGGAAUUGCAUUCGAUACUGGUCAGCUAGAGUAUGGGAGAGGAUGGUAGAAUUCCAGGUGUAGCGGUGAAAUGCGUAGAGAUCUGGAGGAAUACCGAUGGCGAAGGCAGCCAUCUGGCCUAAUACUGACGCUGAGGUACGAAAGCAUGGGGAGCAAACAGGAUUAGAUACCCUGGUAGUCCAUGCCGUANACGAUGUCUACUAGCCGUUGGGGCCUUUGAGGCUUUAGUGGCGCAGCUAACGCGAUAAGUAGACCGCCUGGGGAGUACGGUCGCAAGACUAAAACUCNNNUGAAUUGACGGGGGCCC